rnacentral:rRNA from 1 species
AGUGAACGCUGGCGGUAGGCCUAACACAUGCAAGUCGAACGGCAGCACAGUAAGAGCUUGCUCUUACGGGUGGCGAGUGGCGGACGGGUGAGGAAUACAUCGGAAUCUACUUUUUCGUGGGGGAUAACGUAGGGAAACUUACGCUAAUACCGCAUACGACCUACGGGUGAAAGCAGGGGAUCUUCGGACCUUGCGCGAUUGAAUGAGCCAAUGUCGGAUUAGCUAGUUGGCGGGGUAAAGGCACACCAAGGCGACGAUCCGUAGCUGGUCUGAGAGGAUGAUCAGCCACACUGGAAGUGAGACACGGUCCAGACUCCUACGGGAGGCAGCAGUGGGGAAUAUUGGACAAUGGGCGCAAGCCUGAUCCAGCCAUACCGCGUGGGUGAAGAAGGCCUUCGGGUUGUAAAGCCCUUUUGUUGGGAAAGAAAAGCAGCAGGUUAAUACCCCGCUGUUCUGACGGUACCCAAAGAAUAAGCACCGGCUAACUUCGUG